rnacentral:rRNA from 1 species
AGAAUGAACGCUGGCGGCGUGCUUCAGACAUGCAAGUCGUACGUGAAACCCCGCAAGGGGGAGUAAAGUGGCGCACGGGUGAGUAAUACUUAGAUAACGCACCUUCUCGCUGGGGAUAACUAAGGGAAACUUUAGCUAAUACCGAAUAGUCCCACAGUUACUUUGGUUUUGUGGGUAAAGCCGUAAGGCGCGGGAUGAGCGGUCUAAGCCUGAUUAGCUAGUUGGUAGGGUAAAGGCCUACCAAGGCUACGAUCGGUAGCUGGUCUGAGAGGAUGAUCAGCCACACUGGUACUGGAAUACGGACCAGACUCCUACGGGAGGCAGCAGUUAGGAAUUUUGCGCAAUGGGCGAAAGCCUGACGCAGCAACGCCGCGUGAGGGAUGAAGGCCUUCGGGUUGUAAACCUCUUUCAGUUGGGAAAAACAAUGAUGGUACCAAAAGAAGAAGCACCGGCUAACUACGCGCCAGCAGCCGC